CCUACGGGGGGCUGCAGUAGGGAAUCUUCCACAAUGGACGAAAGUCUGAUGGAGCAACGCCGCGUGUGUGAUGAAGGGUUUCGGCUCGUAAAACACUGUUGUAAGAGAAGAAUGACAUUGAGAGUAACUGUUCAGUGUGUGACGGUAUCUUACCAGAAGGGAACGGCUAAAUACGUGCCAGCAGCCGAGGUAAUACGUAUGUUCCAAGCGUUAUCCGGAUUUAUUGGGCGUAAAGCGAGCGCAGACGGUUAGUUAAGACCGAAGGGAAACCCCGCAGCGUACCUUGGGAAGUCCUUUGGAAACUGGAGAACUUGAGUGCAGUAGAGGAGAGUGGAACUCCAUGUGUAGCGGUGAAAUGCGUAGAUAUAUGGAAGAACACCAGUGGCGAAGGCGGCUCUCUGGACUGUAACUGACGUUGAGGCUCGAAGGUGUGGGUAGCAAACAGGAUUAGAUACCCUGGUAGUC
rnacentral:rRNA from 1 species